UUACGACCAUAUCACGUUGAAACACCGGUUUUCAUACAAUUACUGAAGUUAAGCAAUGUCGAGUUUGGUCAGUACCUAGAUGAGUGACCGCUUGGGAGCAUCAUGUGCGGUAAG